rnacentral:rRNA from 1 species
UUCAGCAAUUAAUGAUGACAUGCAUGUUUCCGCAUCAGGGACGAAUAGCUCAGUAAAACUGCGAUGAUUUAGUCUGGCUGUGUAGAUAACUACGUGAAAAUGUAGCUAAGGGAAGGCAGAAUAAGACGCAGGACUAUCAGUUAGUUGGUAGUGUAAUGGACUACCAAGACAGUGACGGUUGACGGGAAAUCAGGGUUUGGUUCCGGAGAGG